ensembl:lncRNA
UUCUCAUGGAUUCCAGAUAGUAUAUUCUAGAACUUGAAGGGAGAUUUGAGCAGUGCACUACCAAGAUGGUCAUAGUUAUCCCACUAGGCAUAUGCUCUUGGGAGCCUGAAAUGUUAAUAGUACUGGGCCUAGUAUGGGCACUCAGUAAGCCCUGGAAUGAACUCAAGAAUGAAUGCCCUGUUAUAUCCUGCAAGCGUGAACAAGGGCAUGUUCUGUAAAAACCAGCUUGUGGAAGUGGGACCUCAUGUGUGUAUAUGUGUGUGUGGGGGUGUGUGUGUGUGUAUGCUCAGUUGUGUCCAACUCUUUGCUACCCCAUGGACUGUAGCCCACUAGGCUCUUCCGUCCAUGGAAUCUUCCAGGCAGGAAUACUGGAAUGGGUUGCCAUUUCCUUAUCCAGGGAAUCUUCCUGACCUUCAUGCUGCUGCUGCUGCUAAGUUGCUUCAGUUGUGUCCGACUCUGUGCAACCCCAUAGACGGCAGCCCACCAGGCUCCCCCGUCCCUGGAAUUCUCCAGGCAAGAACACUGGAGUGCCAUUUCCUUCUCCAAUGCAUGAAAGUGAAAAGUGAAAGUGAAGUUGCUCAGUUGUGUCCAACUCUUAGCGACCCCAUGGACUGCAGCCUACCAGACUCCUCCACCCAUGGAAUUCUCCAGGCAAGAGUACUGGAAACCCAUUGCCUUCUCUGCCUGACCUUCAUACCUAUGUCUAAAGUCCUACUAUGGUUAGAUUGAGCCUGUUUUUUGGUUUAUGGGCAACUGUUUCAUUUUCCCUUGAACCCCUGGCACCAGCUGAUAAGGACUGUCUUCAUGGAUUGAGGCUGACUCUCUGGAGAACAGACCUUGCAUUUCCCAAAAAAGAGCAGUUUUGUACAUUUUCCUCCGUGGCAUUGGAGAUCAGACAAAUCAGGGUUUAAAUUUCAAUUCAGCUACUGACUAGCCAUGAGCCCUUGGGCAAAACUAACCUCUCGGAUUCCCCAUUCUAACAAUUUAUUGGGACUUGCUGUAUGUCAGAUACAGUUCAUUCUAGGAGUGUUAUGCACUGUUGUGGCCUGAAUGUUUGUGGCCCACCAAAAUAUAUCAGUUGAAGCCUAAUCUCCAGUAAGAUAGUGUUUGGAUAUGGGGCCCUUGGGAGAUGAUUAGUUCAUGAGGGUGGAGCCUCAUGAGUGGGAUCAGGGCCCUUUUCGAAAAGGCCCCUUCACUCCAUCCACCAUGUGUGGACAUAAUGAAAAGACAGUUGGCCAUAAACCAAAAACCAGGCUCUCACCAGACACCAAAUCUGCCUCGAUCUUGGAUUUUCCAGCCUCCAGAAUUGUGAGAAAUUUCUAUUGUUUCCAAGCUACCUAGCCUAUGGUAAUUUGUUAUAAUAACCUGAACAGACCAAGGCAUGCACCUUAUAUAGUUAACCCUCAUUUUACAGAUGGGAGCAGACUCAGAGAAGUUUAGUGACUUGCCAAAAGUCACACAGGUCAAACAGGGCAGGAUCAGGGAUUAGCCCCAAAUCUGUUUGAUGCCAAAGCCCAUUGUCAAUGCCUCCCCACUGUCUCCAGAUGCAUCCGUGAGAGGAGCAUCUGGAUCCAAGACUGCAGACCUCUCCAUGGGCACCCAGCGCCACUCUCUUGCUUUCUGAAUGUUUUCUCCGUCUUUAAAAAUGUCCCAUGGAGAAGGAAAUGGCAACCUACUCCAGUAUUCUUGUCUGGAGAAUCCUGUGGAUGGCAGAGCCUGGUGGUCUGUUGUCCAUAGGGUCGCACAGAGUUGGACAUGACUGAAGCGACUUAUCAUGCGUGCCUGGGAGAGGGCAAUGGCAACCCACUCCAGUAUUCUUGCCUGGAGAAUCCCAGGGACAGAGGAGUCUGGUGGGCUGCCAUCUAUGGGGUCGCACAGAGUAGGACAUGGCUGAAGCACCUUAGCAGCAGCAGCAGCAGCAAAAAUGUUCCAGACACAGUGAAGUCUGCUCCUCUGCCCUCUGCUUGCUCCUCCGGCUCUCUUGCUCCGAGUUCUUCCUCUCCCUCUUCUGCUCUCCUUGCAGAAACCUUCCUAUCUUUGCCCCUCAUCCUGCCCAUUUCCCUGCCUUCCUCCAGUUUCUCUUGUCUCUCCCCCACCCUACGUCCUCUCCCAGCUCCUCCUCUGCCUUCCGCCUUGCUGGGCCAUGCUCUUCAGACAUCUCAUUAAAGUAAUUGUUGACCUGAAUUCUUCUUCCAGUGCAUCUAUAAUUAUGCACCACAGGAAACCCUGAGGGAUUCAAAACAGACUCUUAAUCUAUUUCACAUGAUUCAAAAACAACUCCCAGGAAAGCAGUUUAAUAGACACGAUUAACAGAAUGCUGCUCGGCCAUCCGUGGGAGAUGUUCCCAACCCAGCACUGCCCGCCUCCCUGGGCUUGGUGCUCAGAGACAUCAAAGGUCCCCUCCAAAUCUAGUAAGGCUUUUAGGGUUUAAUUUAGUUAAUUAACUGGAUGUGAAGACAGCUGGAGAAUUUUGUGAGAAGUGUUCCCCUGUCCUUUCCUUCUCUCCUCUGAGCUCAAGGACCCCGCUGGACCAUUGUUAAGGCCUCGGAUGCUCAGUGUGUCUCCACCAGGUAUAGAGGUCAGUUCUGUCCAUCAGCCCAGGGGCUGUGUGUAUUUGUCAAUGUUGUACUGUGUUACCAGCAAGGCCCGAGAUCCCUACCCCUUUCUCUACAUCCGCUUUCUACCAACCUCAAAUCCUGGUCACCUCUCCUGCUUCUGUGAAAGGCUUCCCCUUGUGGAUGCUGGGAGCUAGCACUGCAGGAAAGCCUCCUUAUCAGAAUGAGUUCCUAUGGAAGAUCCUGUGAAGGGUGCCCCCUGGGCAAGGGACUUGUUCCAGGGCCCACCUGGAAGAGGACUUGGCUGGGUAACCUCUUGGGCAAGUCUCCCCACCCUUGGGCUCUUGACAACACCACUUUUCUAAAACUUUUCUAAACACCACUUUUCUAAAUCUGUCCUUCCAAUGAGACUAGUUCAUUUAUCAUCUGUAACAGUGACUCUGUAAUUUAAAUAUGCGCCAAUGUCCAUCGUCUCCUGGAUGGCUUGUUAAAACAAGUUUCUGGUUCUGAGGCAGAGCCCAAGAAUUUGCAUUUGUAAAGAGCUUCCUGGUGAUGACUGAGCUGUCGGAUACAAGGUCUUUGACCUUGUCAUAUUCUUCCCAUUACCAGCAGCCUGGGUCUUAUAUGGCUAGAAUUUUGAUUUGUGGCAGAAAAUGAGGAAAAGGACUGACCGAGGAACAGCAGGAGUGAAGACAGAAGUCAGAAAAAUGAAGGGCCUGUUGAAAGGAGGGAAUCAACAGUUACUUUGAUUAGGAAACAAUGAUUAUGGAAUCAGCUUUCAAGUAAGCAACAAGAGAAUUAACCACCGAGUUUAAUGCUUUUUCCUUUCUUGAAGUUUUUCUGAUCCCAGUGUGGGUAUCUUAUAUUAAGUUCACUUACCACAGGCAUGGUGCACAGACAGCUGCCUUCUUGGCAAAAGUUUUGUGUGUUCCCACUAUCUUCUGGCUGCCCUCAAACUUUCAUCACCUCAAACACCCCAGUUCCUCUCAUCAAAAGGCUCCUCCUUUUUCCUGUGACCUCAGGACCAGAAGGGGAACGCGGCCAAACUCAAACUGACUCAGGUGAAUUGACUUAUGAAAGCUACUUCCCACCUGUGGUUCAUUCCCUAAGUGCAGAGAGGUGGUGAAGAUCAGAACGCGGCCACCUCCUCCUAAACACUGCAUUUUUCUUUCUUUUCCUUUUCUUUUCAAGUAAGAACGCUUAUUUGAGGUAGCUGCUGGAGAAACUCAAAUCCAAAAGAGGAAUUGGGAAUACGGGGAUAACCGUAACAGGUAGACAGUAAGCCAUUUCUUGGAAUUUUUCAAUACCACCUUUUAGUAGGAUGCCGGCUUACUUAAAGGCACAAAUCUUGUGCCUCUGGGAAACCACAGACUCCAAGGCUCUCAUCAAGAUCUUCUCAAACAUCAUUUCCAGGAAAGAGCCCUGAUUGGGUGAACAUAGAUAAAAGAAUGAUAUAUUCUGUCUGUGAAGAGGCUGUCUCUUUUUCCUAUCAAGAUUGCUUCUGGAAUCUUGCCUAAAAACAUGAGAAGUCACAUUUUUAGGCAAGGGUUGAGAGCAGACUGUUAAAACCUCCCCUUGCUUACACUGCUGUUGGUGACUUACAGACAGGAAAUGAGCAGAGGAGGGUGGAGACAAUCUGCUGAUUGAGAGAGAGGGAGCCAAUGAGAAACAGA